rnacentral:rRNA from 1 species
AUGGAGGAAGCAGGAAAGGGACUUGACUGGGUUCAUUCAAAGGAAAAAUACAAUGAAUAUUUGAAGCAGCUUCUAGACCUAAGCUCCGGCAAGAGCAAGGCAGAACCCAUGGCAAACCCCCAUGUGGUCCAGAACCGCAAAGAAGUUUCAGUGAAGAAGAAUCUGCAGUUGCCUCAAACCAAGGAGAAGAUGGUGAGUGUAGAUGCUGAAGUAAAUAUGGUCAAGGAAGUUGUGCUUCAAACUGAUACACCAACUGUAGUGAGCAGAGAGCCAACCACCAUCACAGGAGUUCAACAGAUCAAGGGGAAGACUCCCCUUUCAAUAGUCCCACCAAAACCAUCUAAGCAGCAAAAGCUUGUCAUGUUUGCCAGGGGCACAAAGGGGGAACAAGCCACAAAAGGGGUGCCAAGUUCUGCUAGGUUGCUGACAACUCAGACUGGAAAGAUGCCAACUGCAGAUACCAAUGUGCCAACUGAUGUGUCAGCUAGCAGCGUGAUCACAGUCAAAACCACCACAGCUGCUCAGGAAGGCACCACUGCAACUGCAAGCCCCAAGGCGCCUACUCAUAGAGAUGCUUCAAAUGCAAACACAAAGGGAGCUGAUCCUACUACCAAAUUGCCGUCCCCAAGAGCCAGCACAUAG